CAGCCGCCGCGGUAAUACGAGGGGGGCAAGCGUUGUUCGGAAUUAUUGGGCGUAAAGGGCGCGUAGGCGGUUUGGCAAGUUUGGUGUGAAAUCUUCGGGCUCAACUCGAAGUCUGCAUCGAAAACUGCCGGGCUUGAGUAUGGGAGAGGUGAGUGGAAUUUCCGGUGUAGCGGUGAAAUGCGUAGAUAUCGGAAGGAACACCUGUGGCGAAAGCGGCUCACUGGACCAUUACUGACGCUGAGGCGCGAAAGCUAGGGGAGCAAACAGGAUUAGAUACCCCCGUAGUCCCUGUCUCUUAUAC
rnacentral:rRNA from 1 species